GGUAUGUGCUUAAUGAGUACAUGCUUCGUAUGUAUAGCGAUCUCCAGUAUGAGGAAAAACUACCGCUUGGAUUGGCUGAGAGGCCCGGAUCCAUC
rnacentral:ncRNA from 1 species